UGCCUAACACAUGCAAGUCGUACGAGAGUUUUUAACUCUAGUGGCGGACGGGUGAGUAACACGUGAGAAUUUACCUUUAGGAGGGGGAUAACAAUUGGAAACGAAUGCUAAUACCCCAUAUGCUUUCGAGUGAAAUGGAUUUAUAUUUAUUCGCCUAAAGAGAAGCUCGCGGCUGAUUAGCUUGUUGGUAAGGUAAGAGCUUACCAAGGCGACGAUCAGUAUCUGGUUUGAGAGGACGAUCAGACACACUGGAACUGAGACACGGUCCAGACUCCUACGGGAGGCAGCAGUGGGGAAUUUUCCGCAAUGGGCGAAAGCCUGACGGAGCAAUACCGCGUGAGGGAAGACUGCCUAUGGGUUGUAAACCUCUUUUUUCAGGGAGGAAUAAAUGACGUGUACCUGAAGAAUAAGCAUCGGCUAACUCCGUGCCAGCAGCCGCGGUAAGACGGAGGAUGCAAGUGUUAUCCGGAAUCACUGGGCGUAAAGCGUCUGUAGGUGGUUUAAUAAGUCAACUGUUAAAUCUUGAGGCUCAACUUCAAAAUCGCAGUCGAAACUAUUAGACUAGAGUAUAGUAGAGGUAAAGGGAAUUUCCAGUGGAGCGGUGAAAUGCGUAGAUAUUGGAAAGAACACCGAUGGCGAAAGCACUUUACUGGGCUAUUACUAACACUCAGAGACGAAAGCUAGGGUAGCAAAUGGGAUUAGAUACCCCAGUAGUCCUA
rnacentral:rRNA from 1 species